UACGUAGGGUGCGAGCGUUAAUCGGAAUUACUGGGCGUAAAGCGUGCGCAGGCGGUUCGUUGUGUCGGCGGUGAAAUCCCCGGGCUCAACCUGGGAAUGGCCGUUGAAACUGGCGAACUGGAGUGUGGCAGAGGGGGGUGGAAUUCCGCGUGUAGCGGUGAAAUGCGUAGAUAUUGGGAAGAACACCUGAGGCGAAGGCGGGUUGCUGGGCUGACACUGACGCUGAUGGACGAAAGCGUGGGUAGCGAACAGG
rnacentral:rRNA from 1 species